CACGUAGGGGGCGAGCGUUGUCCGGAUUUAUUGGGCGUAAAGAGCUCGUAGGCGGCUCAGUAAGUCAGGUGUGAAAACUCCAGGCUCAACCUGGAGACGCCACCUGAUACUGCUGUGGCUAGAGUCCGGUAGGGGAGCAUGGAAUUCCUGGUGUAGCGGUGAAAUGCGUAGAUAUCGGGAGGAACACCAGUGGCGAAGGCGACUUCCUGGCCUGUUCUUGACGCUGAGGCGCGAAAGCUAGGGUAGCAAACGGG
rnacentral:rRNA from 1 species